UGUCCCUACGGGGCGCAGCAGUAGGGAAUCUUCCACAAUGGACGAAAGUCUGAUGGAGCAACGCCGCGUGAGUGAAGAAGGGUUUCGGCUCGUAAAGCUCUGUUGGUAGUGAAGAAAGAUAGAGGUAGUAACUGGCCUUUAUUUGACGGUGAUUACUUAGAAAGUCACGGCUAACUACGUUCCAGCAGCCGCGGUAAUACGUAGGUGGCAAGCGUCGUCCGGAUUUAUUUGGCGUAAAGCGAGUGC
rnacentral:rRNA from 1 species